AAAACCAAGAGUUUGAUCCCGGCUCAGAAUGAACGCUGGCGGCGUGCCUAACACAUGCAAGUCGAGCGAGAAAUCCCGGGCUUGCCUGGGAGAGUAAAGCGGCGCACGGGUGAGUAACGCGUGGGCAACCUGCCCUUGAGUGGGGGAAAACAUUUCGAAAGGAAUGCUAAUCCCGCAUACGACCUUUGUGCAUAAGUACAAAGGGGAAAGACGGCCUCUGCUUGCAAGCUGUCGCUCAUGGAUGGGCCCGCGUUGGAUUAGCUUGUUGGUGAGGUAAUGGCUCACCAAGGCUGCGAUCCAUAGCUGGUUUGAGAGGACGAUCAGCCACACUGGAACUGAGACACGGUC
rnacentral:rRNA from 1 species